AAAAAACAGUAAUAUUUCAUCACUCUCAUCGUUUUCCCUCACCUGGUAUUGUUUCCUCUUCCAGCAUGGCUGGCUGUUCAGGACCACCACUAAUGUUAACUUUCAUCCAGCACCUUCAUCGUCCGUUUGAAAAAAUCGUUGAAACCACCUGUGUUCAGUAUUUACGGACUCUCCGCUUUGUUUAAUGGUCAUUAUUAAGAGAAGAGAGAACUCCUAGGAUAAAGACGGCGUAUUUUCAAUGCUAAAUGUAAAGGUUUUUUCUUACAAAGAAUUUUAUACAGUAACAAAGGGUUAUACACAAAAAUAUGAGCCUAGGGCUCAGACAUGUGUGUCGCGAAGAAUCUCACAAUUGAAGACCCUUUAAUUGUGUCUUGAGCAUUGAAGAUCUUCUACAGCCUAUUGCUUCUUGUGUUUCUGUUUUCAUUUUUUCCUGCUUUGUCUCUGGAAAAAAAAAAAAAAAGAACUCCACAGCAGAUAGCGAUCGCCACUGCCAGAUCUCAAAUUCUAGCUCGCUUAUUUCAGUGUUUUUGUUUAAAAUUACGGGAGACUGUUAGGGCGUAUGCUAACAAUUCCUGUAAGAUGAGACACCAAAUGCAGAACAAUCAAGAAGAGGAAGGACCACUUGGGUCAACAAACACACAUGGCAGCAAAGGAGUGAAGCAGAUGGCAAUUUCACAGUAGCAAGGACCACCAAAUUUGGAGAGGGAGUGAGGAUAAAAGAAGGGAAAGAUCCAAAAAGAAUUCAGAGAAGAAAAUUGUUGAGAAUGAAGAAGAGGGAGAGUUUCAGCCUCUCGAAAGUUGGAGGGAUUAGUUUGUUUACUUGAGUCUUUUGUGUUUCUUGAAUCUAUGUUAAUUCCAAUGUAAAGAACUGCAAGAUGGAUCAAUAGAACCUUUAUUGUAAUUCUAAAAAAUCCUUUCAAUACAAGCAUCAGUUUACAAAUAUUGUUCUGAUUUUUGAUUUUUGAGUAGAUCUAUCAUUUAAUACAACAGUAGCUAUAAUACAUAAAUUCCAGGUUUCUGGUUCCAGUGUUAGUCCAGUAACAGGAGUGCAGUAGCAAGGAAGAGCCAACCCAGCAGCACAUCUUCAGCAUCUAUUUCAUCCCCAAACACA